GGAGGUGACCUACCCAUGGCCAGGUUGAAGCUUAGGUGAUACUAAGUGGAGGACCGAACCGGUGUGUGUUGAAAAACGCUCGGAUGAGCUGUGGGUCGGAGUGAAAGGCUAAUCAAACCCCGUGAUAGCUGGUUCUCCUCGAAAUGCAUUUAGGUGCAGCGUUGCGUGUUGAUGAGUGGGGGUAGAGCACUGACAGGGCUAGGGGGCAUACCCGCCUACCAACCCCUAUCAAACUCCGAAUACCAUUCAAUAGAGCGCAGCAGUGAGACGGCGGGGGAUAAGCUUCGUCGUCGAGAGGGAAACAGCCCAGAUCAGCAGCUAAGGUGCCUAAAUUGUGCUCAGUGGAAAGGAGGUGAGGUUUCAUAGACAGUGAGGAUGUUGGCUUAGAAGCAGCCACCAUUUAAAAAAUGCGUAAUAGCUUACUCAUCGAGAGACCUUGCGCCGAAAAUACUUGGCGAUAAGCACAAUACCGAAGCUCUGGGUGUCCUAGUUUACUAGGGCGCGGUAGAGGAGCAUUCUCUGUGCAGUGAAGGGUGAUGGCGACUGACCCUGGAGCGCAGAGAAGUGAGAAUGCAGACAUGAGUAACGAUAAGAGCGGUGAAAUCCCGCUCCGCCGUAAAUCCAAGGUUUCCCGGGCAACGUUUUUCGUCCCGGGGUUAGUCGGGACCUAACCCGAGGCCGAUGGGCGUAGGGGAUGGUAAGCAGGUUAAUAUUCCUGCACCCAGUAAGGAGGACGCAUAAUGAAAAGCUACUAGGUUAUUGAAUUCCGAGGCGAGGCUUAGGCCGGACCGUAUAGCUGGACAGAGUGCCAAGAAAAGCCCUUACAUUAAUGGCCCGUACCGUAAACCGACACAGGUGGAUGGGUAGAAUAUACCAAGGCGCAAGAGUGAAACCUGGUCAAGGAACUCGGCAAAAUAGCCCCGUAACUUCGGAAGAAGGGGUGCCCCCUCUGGGGGGCCGCAGUGAAAUGGCCCAACCGACUGUUUAGCAAAAACACAGCAUUGUGCUAAGGCGUAAGCCGACGUAUACGAUGUGACACGUGACCAAUGCCAAAAGAUUACGGUAAGAUGUUAGCACUUUAGUGCGAAGCUUCGAGCCCAAGUCCUGGUGAAUGUCGGCCGUAACUAUAACGGUCCUAAGGUAGCGAAAUUCCUUGUCGGGUAAGUUCCGACCUGC
rnacentral:rRNA from 1 species